AAAUAUCAGUGGUUGGACCACAAGAAGAUCCUCAAUCAAAAAUACCCAAGGAUGAGGUACAUCUACUAUACACACCUCCUCUCCGAAGGUCAGAUAGAGUGCGUCAAGCAUUUCUAAGAUAUAAUUUUAUCAUUAAGAAUAACAAUUCUAUCAAUAUCAUUCAGGAUGUUGAUCCACUGACCUAUUCGGAAGCUAUCAUGAGUAGGGACUCAGACAGAUAGCUGGAAGC
rnacentral:lncRNA from 1 species